ACCGAGGAGGAAACUUUCAGAGGAAACUCAAGUAUUUUGGGAAUACUGCUGUUAUUGUGACACUAAACGUAGUUUUCAGAUGAUUUGAGGUGAGAAAGUGGUUGUAAAAACGUCCAAUGUGUGGUCAGUUUAUCCAGAUGAAGCUGAUUAAAAAUGAGCUCCAACGGUUUCAGAGAUGUGAGGUCCAGGUUAGACAGCUAUGAUGGACGGUCAGCCUCACUGUAGAGCUCCUUAUCUGGACCAGACUUUACAAUCUGCUGCUCUGACGCUUCUAUAGCGCUUCAACAGGAUAUUAGUAGUUUAUGUUGAUCUAACCGUCACACUUUGACCUCACACUUUAUUUGGAUUGUUCACAGAAAAAUCACUUUGAAAGAAGUUCAAGUUCACAACUUAAGAUCGUUCAUGUUUUACUCGCUCACUGACUGUGAUCAUAAGAACAGAUAGAAAUUAAAACAUAGAAGAUCAUUUAUUUACAAGUUUGGUUUCUGAGUGUUUUCACCACUAAAAAUAUGUAGUUUUUCUUCUUGUCUUUGUAGUUCUUUAUAUUUGCUUUUAGGGCUAAAUUUAAUUAAAUAGAAUUAAAAAUGGAGACAAUAAGAUAAAAAUAAAAGCAUCAGUUUUACUGCUUUACUAAAGAUCUUUUUUCUGUUUUCAUUUCUGCCGUGGAAGAGGAUAAACGUUGAUUAUUCAACAUGGAAAAUUAAAUUCCACUUAUCAACAAAUAAGCAAACAAACAUGAAGAUCAAAGUGUGUUAUUAGUCAUUUAUUGAAUAAAAAAGAAAGUUAUAAUAGUUUAAAACCCACAGGUAGAGCAAAUAAAAGUGGAGAAAGACGUAUUAAAAUCAUUGAUCUUGUUCAGGAAAAAUCAACCACUGCAAUGAAAAUAAAAACUCAGUUCGACAUUGAUUACAGCACAAGAUCUGUUCAAAGAAUUUAGACCAUGGAAGGGUUCAAAUACACCACAAUGUGAGGAAAACCUCCUUUAAUGGCCAAACAGAACAUUUAUAGAAUUAAAUAGGCAAAAAAAUGUUGAAUUUACAGAGUUCAAUGUAAUCUGGAUAGUCCUGGUGGGUUUAAAUUCUACUGGAAUCAUAUCGAUGCUGAAAACAUUUUGAUCCACAGAUAGCUAGGGUUAUGGGAGCUUUGAUGGAAAAAUACAAUCUGAUAGAAACCAGAAAUUCAGAAUCUGAUAAAAAAAAAAAAACUUAUGAAAAAACAUUGAAGCACUUAUUUAUUGUAAAAAUGAAAAAUGGAUCUAUCAAUAAGACAUAAAUGACAGAAGAGCACAGAAUACUUUGGAAAGAGUGACACAGAUGAAGGAAGUUCUCAUUUCAUCACUAGAACAGGACUUAAAGACUCACAUCAGGAUCAAGUG